rnacentral:lncRNA from 10 species
UGGCUCUGUGGCCCCACCCAAAUUUCAUGUUGAAUUAUAAUCCCCAGUGUUGAGGUAGGGACCUGGUAGGAAGUAAUUGGAUCAUCGGGGUAGAUUUGCCCCUUGCUCUUCUUGUGAUAGUGACUUCUCAUGAGAACUGGUUGUUUGAAAGUAUGUAGCACUCCCCCCUUCCCUCACUCUCUCUCCUGCUCCACCAUGGUAACAUGUGCUUGCUUCCCCUUCUGCCAUGACUGUAGAUUUCCUGAGGCCUUGUCAGUUAUGCCCCCUGUACAGCCUGUGGAACUAACUUCUUUUCACAUUUCUUGGAAGGCAGGUUGACAAGUAUUUUUCAAGAGAGAGACAGGAGGAAAUUUGAGAUAGAAGAGGAGAAGACAAGACACAGAGAAGAGAAGCUGAUGUGAAGAUGGAGCAGAGAGAGAUGCAGACAGAAGCCAAGGAAUGCUGACAGCUACCAGGAGCUGGAAGAGGCAGAGAAGGAUUCCUUUCCAGAUCCUUUAGUGGGACCGUGGCCCUGCCGACACCUUGAUUUCAGCUGUCUAGCCUCCAGAAUUGUGGGAGAAAAAGUUUUUAUUGUUUUAAGCCACUAAGUUUGUGGUGAUUCAUUACAGCACCCCCAGGAAAUGAAUAUAGUAUCCCAAGUAGGAUUAGCCCUAGUUACCUACUGUGGUGGUGAGCUCAAUAAUUUAAGAGUUACUUUUUCUUCCUUUCUUAGGUUGCUCUUCCCAGUUCUCCAUUCUUGUUCCCUAUGAUCAUUUCCCAAAAUAAAUUCCCCGCAUGCAAGACCUGGUCUCAGGCUCUGACUUCUGGGGAAAAUCGAGGCUAAUAUACUUGGUUCCAGAAGUGACCAUAGGAAGCAGAACCUCAAGAUGUUAUGGUGGAACUGCUUCAUUCACUGUCCAAACAGUGGGAAGAACUUUGUUUGUGGUGGUGA